rfam:Equus caballus chromosome 7, whole genome shotgun sequence.
GUCUCUGUGGCGCAAUUGGUUAGCGCGUUUGGUUGUUAAUCGAAAGAUUGGUGGUUCAAGCCCACCUAGAGAUG